AGGCGGAGCAUGAAUGCACAUUUCUAUUUUGCACAUUGCCCUAUCAAUUCCGAUCAUAUAAAACAGCUGAACCAAAUAGCAAAUCAAUAGCAGACAAAGCGCCACUGGAACGGUGUCGGGUCAGCCUUGUUGAAUUGUUUGGGCUAAAAUAUAAUUCAAACCUAAAAUGGAUCCUUGUGAUUGCUCAAAAACUGGAAGCUGCAGUUGCGGUGGACUCUGCAAGUGUACAAACUGCGAAUGUGCCAAGAAAAGUUGUUGUUCCUGCUGCCCGACUGGAUGCAGCAAGUGCGCCUCUGGUUGUGUGUGCAAGGAGGGCAAGACGUGCGACACAAGCUGCUGUCAGUGAGGGCUUGACACAACACCAUGUCCUCUACCUCAUGACAUUAUCCCUGUUGUACGACAGAGCAUUGUAAUAAAUUGCAGCUCCAAUUUGGAUGUCUUCAAUCAU